rnacentral:sRNA from 1 species
GCUGGGCAUAGUGGCACACACCUGUAAUCUCAGCAACUUUGGAGGCUGAGGCAGGAGCAUUGCAUGUUCAAGACCAGCCUCAACAACUUGGUAAGAUCCUGCCUCAA